rnacentral:rRNA from 1 species
GACGGAGGAUGCAAGCGUUAUCCGGAAUGAUUGGGCGUAAAGCGUCCGCAGGUGGCAGUUCAAGUCUGCUGUCAAAGACCGGGGCUUAACUUCGGAAAGGCAGUGGAAACUGAACAGCUAGAGUAUGGUAGGGGCAGAGGGAAUUCCUGGUGUAGCGGUGAAAUGCGUAGAGCUCGUGAGGAAGACCGGUGGCGAAGGCGGAUCUCUGGACGGCCCCUGACGCUGAGGCGCGAAGGCUAGGGGAGCAAACGGG